rnacentral:misc_RNA from 1 species
AUCGACACGCAAUUGCGCUCAGGCUGACGCUACCGUGGCUUUAGGUACGUGGAGCUACGCGUGGUGGCACGUUACGCCUCUAAGCGCUACGCUGCUGCUGGUGGCGGUCGCGUGCCGGUGGGUCAGCCGCAGCUGACCGGCAACCGCUACUAGCAGCGGAGAGCAGUCGGCUCGGCAGAGAACGUGGGCUUUCCGAGUUGGCAUUUUACCCUCCUAAUCGCGGCGCAGGCGACCAUCGAGAAACGGCUGCAAAGUCUUCGGCACACGGUCGACUUUCAGUCGCGGCAAGCGUUGAUUAAGGCAGUACGCACGGGCGUCCUGUCCUUGCCGGCUGCCGGUUUGGCUGCUGCUCGGUGGAAGCUAGGUGCGCUGGUCCGCGGAACGAGUGGUCGCUUCUGCUGUU